rnacentral:lncRNA from 1 species
CUAAAUACUAAAAGCAGGAAUAGAAAGGGACUUCUCGUUCUGUGGACGCGGCAGAUGAAGCCUCUAGAGCAGUCGCAUCCUCAAGGUUUAUAGGCUUGAGUAGUGGUACCUGGAUCUGCACAUGAAAAACAUGCGUAAAAGAGGCAUGAGUACACCACAGCGGUACUCAGUAACUGCCAAGCCUACCCUCGGUUCGGUAGUGACGAGGAAGGUCAGGGCCCUACUGAUUAAAUAAAUAUAAAGAUGACAGGAUAAGAUAANNNNNNNNNNNNNNNNNNNNNNNNNNNNNNNNNNNNNNNNNNNNNNNNNNNNNNNNNNNNNNNNNNNNNNNNNNNNNNNNNNNNNNNNNNNNNNNNNNNNNNNNNNNNNNNNNNNNNNNNNNNNNNNNNNNNNNNNNNNACAAGGAUGAUAACCGGGGAUCUCUUGGUAUCCCGAGGAUCUCUUGGUAUCCUCAAUAUAUGCUAGGGAUCUCUUGUUAUCCCGAAGAUCUCUUGGUAUCCUCAAUAUAUGCGGAAAAUCUCCCGCAUCUGCGGAACCUGCUGACCUUCCUCAAUUUCGCUUCUGCGGCGUGUUAACUGCUUUUGCAGCGCCGCACCUGCGGAACCCAAACCGCAUGUGCGGUUAUGAUAGAACCAGCAGCUGAAGCUGCAACUUAAAUUCCAAAAAUCUUUCCGUCAACUAUCUGAAAUCAUCCCGAGCCUCCGGGACCUCAACCAAAGGUACCAACAAGUCACAAAUUGCUACCCAAACUAGUACCAAUUCUUAAAACACCUAAAAUAACAUCGAAACCUCGAAUUAACCAUGGAUUCAAGCCUAAGAACUCCAAAAUUCUCAAAAUACGCAUUCGAUCAAAAAGUCUAUCAAACCUUGUCCGAAUGACCUAAAAUUUUGCACAUACAUCACAUUAAACACUACCUAACUACUCCACCUUCCGAAAUUCCAUUCCGACCCUCGGAUCAAAAUCUCACUAUCGGAUCGGAACUUCAAAAAUUCAACUUUCGGCAUUUCAAGCCUAAUUUAGCUACGGACCUCCAAAAUACAAUCCGAACACGCCCCUAAGCCCAAAAUCACCUAAUGGAGCUAACGGAACCAUCAGAUUUCCAUUCCGAGGUCGUCUUCAUACUGUUCCGACUACGGACAAUUUUCUAACGUUUAAGCUCUCAUUUAGGGACUAAGUGUCCCAAAACUCUCCGAAACUCGACACCGAAUAUCCCGGCAAAUCAAAAUAGCAGAAUUAAACUUGGGAAAAGCAGUUAAUAGGGGAUCGGGGCGUUAAUUCUUAAGACGACCAGCCGGGUCGUCAAAGGCCGCGAUCGGGUGGGUUAGUAAACGCAGUGUUUCACGACCGCGUGGAGGUUUACGCGAUCGCGUAGGGUUAAGAUGAGGGCAGUCAAUGUUUGUGCUUCGCGAUCGCGAAGCUGUUUCCACGAUCGCGAUGAAGGAAUUAGCACCUGGUCAGAAUGUUUAAAUAGUUGCCUUCGCGAUUUUUAGUCCAUUUCCUCCAUUGUUGAACGGUUUUGAAGCUUUUUGAGAGGGAUUGAAGAGGGAAUCGAAGGGAACCACUUGGAGGUAAGAUUUUUUAACUUAAUACUCGAUUCUAUGGUGAUUUCUAACUAAUUGGGCAUGAAAUAAUGGGAUUUAAAGCCUAAAAUUGGGGAAUUGGGCUUGAAAUUAGAGAGCGAAAAUUGGGGAUCUGAGGGAUCAUCUGAGGUCCGAUUUUGAUGUUCUUGGUAUGUCUGGACUCGUGGAAGGAUAAAAAUUUUAGUGAUGUGAUUUUUAUAGAAAUCCGAGACGUGGGUCCGAGGGUCGGGUUUGGCCAAUUUCGGGAUUUUUGAGUUAACUUGAUUAUUUUUGCUUGGGAUUUGUUCCUUUAUCGCAUAUUAAUGGUAUGAUACUAAUUUUGGUUAGAUUUUCAGCAAUUGGAGGCUGAUUCCAGGGGAAAAGACAUUGCGAGCUAGAGUUGGACCGGAUUGAGGUAAGUAAUGAUUGUAAAUGUUGUCCUGAGGGUAUGAAACCCCGGAUUUCACAUUGUUGUGCUACUUUGAGGUAACACACACAUUAGAUGACGAGUGUGGGGUCAUGCACCAUUAGGGAAUGUGACUUGGUCCGUCCCGUACAACUAUUAAGUCGCGUAUUUGAUUGAAAAUAUUUUGAAAUCAUCGUGUUUUGGAAAGUAUUACUAUAUUUUGGGCUGAAUGCCAUAUUUUGGUCUCGUGCCAACUAUUUUGGACCCUUAGGGGCUUUUUACUACUAUUAUUCACUGUUUUGAUUUAAUAUCUGUACUCAGUCAUGCUAUAUUCUAUUGUUUCAUAAUUUAACCGUAUUUACUCCGUUUUGAUAUUUUAAAUGAUAUUUUGGGCUGAGCAUCAUGUUUUACUGUUCAAGUGGCUUGAGAAAUUUCUGACUGACUGAGGCCAAGGACCUGUGUUGUGAGGAUAUCAUGGGAUCAGGCUGCACACCGCAGUAUGUUGUACUGAUUGUGAUGUAUGAGAAGCCGAGGGCUUGAUUUAUUAUGCCACGAGAUGGCUAGUGAUAGCGCUUGGGCUGUAGGAGCCCCUCCGGUGUCUGAACACCCCCAGUGAGCAUGGGUACCCAGUGUGAGAGAUGUGAUAUUGCCCGAGGGGCUGUUAACGUUUCUAUCCUUUUACUCACUGUUUUCAUCACUCGUUUGAAACUAUUGAAAGAUGUUUUAAAAAGGUUUUACUGAACCGAGUUGUUUUUAUGAGUUUUAUUGAUUUCCUGUAUUGUUCUGGACAUAUACUAUUUUGUUGUAGUGCUAUGACAUGAAAUUACAUGUUUCCUUACUGCUCAGCUGCCUUUACUUUUAUUACUUACUGAGUUGACGUACUCACAUUACUCCCUGCACCUUAUGUGUAGAUCCAUGAGUCUCGGGACGUGAUAGUGAGUGCUGAUCAAUCUUCCAGCAGGUCUCCAAAGUUGACUAGGUAGUUGCUUGGCAUUCGCAGCCCAGUGCUUCUCCUUCCUAUCUUAUCCAGAUUGUCUUAGUAUUUUAUUUUUGGACUAUGUUGUCCUUUCUUAUUCCUAGACGAGUUGGAGUUGCUCAUGACUGGUGACACCCCGAUGUCGGGCUUGUGCUAUAUUUUCACACUGCUUGUUUAAACUCAUACUAUGGGAUUUUAGUUUAUUAAUGGCUUUAAAUGACUUCUUUUGAUUUUCUGGUUGGUUUUGGGUAUGUGUCGGCAGACCUAGUUUCACGAUAGGCGCCAUCACGACUGGAUCAGUUUUAGGGUCGUGACACUUUGAGGGUAGGAUUAUGAUAUUUUAUCAUGCAGAAUGGUCGUGUGAUAGUUUAUGCUUCAAGGAAAUUGAAGAAGCUCAAGUCAUAUUAUGUCACUCAUGAUUUAGAGAUGGUCAUAAUGGUAAUUCCUUUUAUGAAUUAGAGACACUAUUUAUAGGAAGAAACCUAUGAGAUAUAUACCUAGCAUAAGAGCCUGAAGUACAUUUAAAACCAACAGCGAUAUACAUAUUUAGCAAUGCUGAUGGAGGGCACUACUGAAGAUAUAACUGUACUAUUUUUAUUGUUCGGGAAAGAUAAAUAUUAUAACUUAUGGAAAUAAAAAAUGAGUAAUUUGAUGUAUAUAGCUCCUGUAAAGAUACUUCUGGAUAAAGAUAUGCAUAGACUAGAGAGUACACGUACUAGAUUCAAUGUGAAAAAAAAUAUCAAAGACAUAAUUGGUUAUUGGUCAAGCCUGAUAUAGAGUGCAUAAAGGCUAGUCUAUACGAAGAUAAGCAAUUAUUUAAGUAUCGAGAUUAGGUCCUAGAUGGUAAAAACAAGGAUAUGACUAUUGUAUACGGCAAAAAUCGGCGGUUCGAUUUUACGGUCACCAAGGCGCCUCGAAGGAACUGCCUCCCCUAACAGAUCGAAGCUUAGCUCGGGGCCCUGGCCUCGAGGGUCCUCAGUAAUCUACUUCGAGGUAGCGUAAGGAACGGUUGGCCUCGAGGCAGGGUAAAUAAGUGAUGUCGGUGGAUCGGUGUGAGGUUCCCAAGGCACGUGACUAGAGCUGACAAAGUCUAUUAGGUUAGUCCAAACCCGUACUGUAGCAUUAAAAGGCUGUAUCAGCCACAUAUCUUUGUAAUAAAUGUAUUUGUACUAUGUUGGGAUUCCCCCUCAUAUAUAAAGAGGAUCCUUGUCAUUUUGUAGUCAUCUGAUGCUCAAUAUUGGAUACACAAGAAUAUUCUCUCUACUCUCUAACAUAUUAUCUUGAUCUCAUUACUUCCAUUUAUUGCUUAUAUUCAUUAUGUUCUAUUUAUCGCUCUUCAUUUAUUACGUACCAUUGAUCAUAAAGAGCCAUCAUCGUAGCUCUCAUAAUUGUUAGUCUUCCCUCGGUCGCUCUAAGCCGGCCACCCAACUCGACCUCGAGGUCUCAUGCACGACAGCUCGAGGCCCCUAAGCUAUAAUCUUGUUUUCUAAUAUCUUACUUAGCAUCCAUUUCCUAAAAACUAGCAUAAAAAUAUAUCAGUAUUUUUAGAACCACAAAAUCAAAUUUAAUUGUUAUUACCAUUUUCACGAUAAACAGUUUGGCGCCCACCGUGGGGCUAAACAUAAUGUCACACCUCCUUUUUUACCAUCCGAGGGGGUAUAUAAGGGAGUUUUUCCAAUUAAAGUGACAUUAUUCGAAAUGAGAUUAUUUUAUUUAAUUUUUCGAGUUGCCACUUGGAAUAGUCCAGUUUAUUUUAAAUCCCAAAUCGAGGAAAUCGACUUUAUUUAAAAGUGUGCGAAAUCAAAAAUUCUAGAUAAGGAAUUUUGUUAACUCGAGAGAAGGUGUUAGGCAUUCCCGGGUUCCGUGGUUCAAGCACGGUCGCUUAAACUAUUAAUAAUUGGCCUAUUAGCUGAUUUACUGCAUGUUUUAAACCUAUUGUGCAUUUUAACUUUAUAAUCGCUUUUAAUUAUUUUAACCGCUUUUUAGGAUUUAUAGAUUUAUCUCUUGAACAAGUUACGAUUGUCGUACACUUGUUUGUUUUGGAAGACACUGCAAACCACGCUACAUGAAAUGCACCCGUUAUUCACGAUACAUUUAUUUUAUUAAUGUUCGAAGUUGUUAUGAUCGAGUCACAUGAAAUGCACACCCAAAUUAGAGAUUAGGUAUCACGACCAUGCCACAAAAACCGUACCCAUAACUGUGAUGAUUUAUUUAAUUAACGCGCCUAAAGCAAACUAGGACAUUUAUAAAUUGUUUUCCCUAAAACUAUGUUUGAGAUUAUUGGGUGGCCAAAAGCUUAUGAAAAUUAGUUGUAGAAGAAAAAGAGUAGAUUAGCUUUGAAAAUAAGGAUUAGCCAUACUUAUUUUAUAUUCUUGCGGGUUGGCAGACUUCCCCAUUUGGCACCACCAUGUGAUGACCUCUACAGAAGCCAAAUUGGAGACGAUAACUAUUCCCUUACACACAAAUCCUUUUGCUGUUACAUUUAUCUAUUUUUAUAAAUUAAAAAAAUCCAUUCUUAAAUUCUAUUAACAGUGUAGUAUCAUAUCUUAAGAAACCAACAUCACAAGUAUCCAUUAAAUUAAACCAAAAUAAGGAUGAAUAAGAUUGAUAAUUACCGAACGCUAAGAUGGACUGUAUAGAAUAGUUCCAAAAUUAGUUUGAAACAAAGAAAGCAAGUAAAUUUAAUUGAAUAAACUACCUGUUAGCAAAUAAUUAAAACCCAUGGAACAUCUUCACCUAUCUCGAAUAGGACAAGCAGAAUGCUUAAAUCACUUAAAGAGCAAUACAAGAAUCUGUACAUGCGUUUCUAAGUAUUCUGAACUACCAAGAAGACCUUUAAUUUCCAAAGCAUUUAAGAAAAUAAAAUAAGGAAUCUAACAAAAAUAAUCCUAAAGCUUAAUCAAUGUUGAACCAAUUAUGGCAGUACGAUACAACCACUAGCCUCUAAUUAAAAUUUUUGAAUUUUAAAACUAAAUUAGGACCCAACUGUUUCUACAUAUUGUCACGAACAUACAAGAAACUGUAGAAUUAUCAAUCUCGGCAACUACAACCUGGGGAGCUGAGUCUCUUUUUCAGAGGUAAACUUGACCAACAGGUGGUCAAAUCCAUCAUCCGCCAUAUCUCAGUGUCAUUUUAAGCAUAAAUCAUUAGUUUAAACAAUAAGAGGCAACAGAAAGUAAUGAACUAAUCAAUGAGCACUUUAGCAACUUAAAUUUUAAUUUUAACAUACAACAACAACAAAGAUUAACAGAGGACAAACACUAGUAGCUUCGAAAUAGAGGAAAAACACUAAGUAGCUUCGAAACAUAAACACACUAAAUAUAUAAAGCCAAACAUAAGCAACUCAUAAUACCACAAGUCUUAUUUAAACACAACAGAGGAUAGUAGUUUCGAUCAGGUACAUACCUAAAGGCAGAAACAACUGCAGAACAAAGAUCAAAUGAAGAUCUAGAACUCUUAAGGAUGAAGUCCAGCUAUAGCGAGAUGAGCACAGCAGAGAACAACAAAAAAUUUCGAUUCAAAAAGCUUUAAAGAAAACCCAUAAAAUGAUCAACAGUCUCGUGAAAUUAGUAGUUUCUGGUUUCUCUGUUUUCCUGAAGGAGAAGGUCACUUCUCUUAGGUCUGAUCUAAUCUAAAAAAAAAGGAAGGUCUGAUCAUUCUGAUUCUCUUGUUCUCUCUUUUUUUUCGCUGAGNNNNNNNNNNNNNNNNNNNNNNNNNAAAAGCUUUAAAGAAAACCCAUAAAAUGAUCAACAGUCUCGUGAAAUUAGUAGUUUCUGGUUUCUCUGUUUUCCUGAAGGAGAAGGUCACUUCUCUUAGGUCUGAUCUAAUCUAAAAAAAAAGGAAGGUCUGAUCAUUCUGAUUCUCUUGUUCUCUCUUUUUUUUGCUGAGUGAGGUCAGGAACUUUUUGAGGGGAACGACGCUCCUCUUUUUGUGAAGGAGCAGGUCUGAAGGAGCAGGCCUUGGCCCAAUUCAAAAUAAGAUAACUUUUUUUUUGUUCUUUCUUUCUUUCAUUGAUUUUAAAAAAAUUAGUUUGAUUAAUUAAACAAGCUAAAUAAAAGGGAUAAUUUCACAUAAAUAUAACUCACACACCUGACUUACAACAUAAUAGCCUAGAUAUCACUUUGCAAAUUUAUAGCCCAAAAAUAAUCGGUUAAUUCCCGAAAAACAGCUUAUUUCACACAAUCAACUACUGUUGUUGCUCCCUCUUUAUACAACCAGUUGUUUUCAUUCUCUUGAUUUCCUUUGAUUAUUAAGCAUUUGAUAAAAAAAUGCAAAUAAGCCACAACGCAACUCAAAAAUCCUAUCCUGAAUAAUACAUAUUAUCUGAAGGUAAGAAAUUCAAGCAUUUUUAUGUGCAAUUGCUGAAGCAAUCCAACAGGAUAAAAGAAAAAUAAAAAAAAUUGAUAAAUGAAUUGUAGAAUUCCUCCAACGCGUACAAAUCUGUUUCAUAUAGCAUAUACACGAAAAAGAAGAAGAGAAGGAAGUGUCAAACUUCUGUAGAGGUCUCUUACACGCUAACAACAUUAUACUGGAAAAAUAUAUAUCUAUACAACAUUAUACACAAAUAUACACAUUUAUACACAAUUAUACAAUAUUGUAUAAACAUGUAUAAUAGUGUAUAAGAGGUGUUUGUAUAUCCAUAUACACAAUUAUACACUAUUAUACAGUGUCGAUACAACCUGCUACAUAGUUAUGAUUUUCCAGAACUUCAAACUUCAAAAUCUUCCAAAAUUACCAGAACUUCAAAAUUUUCCAAAAUUAGUGGUUGUUUGUUGGUGCAAAUCAAGUUUGAGAGCUAUUUAUUUUCAGAUCUGUGUGUAUUUUCAUGUUUCUUUCAAAUUUCUUCAUUCUUCUGCUUGCCACCAUGGACAACGGAGUAGGAGCCCGACCUUCUUCGAGCCAUUAAUGGCAGAACUACGUGGGGGGUAGAGGAGGGGGAAUGCGGGGGCUAGGUUAAGAGAAGAUGAGGGAUCUAUGUGGGUUAGAAAGAAAGAAGUGAGAGGCGGUGAGAGAGAGAAGGGAAUGAAGAAAGAAGAAAAUAAUAAAAACUCUAAAAGUAUGUCUUUAAUAAUGGGCUAAAGGCUGAAAAUCUUCUUUCAAGUUAUGUACAACAUGGGCUAAAUAGGGUAAGAGCUUCAAAUGUGGGCCAUUUUCGGUUGGGCUAUUGGGCCAAGUGACAUGGGUUGUAAUUCCUUCUAAAUAAAAUCCUAAAUUACGCUCUACCUUAAAUUAUUUUGUAAAGUUAAUCUUACUUAUUUUUACUAAUUUAACACUAAUUAAUUUAAAAUAAAAGCUAAAAUAUGAACAUGACUAUUAUAGUAAUUUUUUUAUUGUGAUUUUUGUUUAAUGAAUGCAAUUAAAUUAUGAAAUUAAAUUCCUAAAUGCAAAUUAAACUUAAGAUGGCAUGGAAUAAAAAAUGUGAUAAUUUUUUUAUGAAUUUUAAAAUGUUAAAGAUGCAUGGAAUGCAACUAAAAAAAGAAAAACUCCUAAAAUUCACUAAAAUUAUUUUUGGUCUAUUUUUUAGGAGUUAUUUCCAUGCGGGUCAAAAAUUAGGUGCUCACAGCUGCCCCUCUUUUCUCGAGAACAUGAAGAGUUUUCGGGCAAAGAUAAAGUGAGCAAUUACGAGCUAUUUUUGCCCGUUUGAUACUCCAUUUGGAAGCAUUUUUUUUGAAAAAGUUUGACCGAACCUUACUUCGGAGGUUGCCUACAUAUCCUUAGCUUUAAAGGAAUCAGGUUGGUGUAGUUCUAGAAGUUUUGGUAGCUGAGACUACCGAAAAACUGUGAUUUCUUUGUUGUUGCUGCUGUUUCUGCUUGCUGAACUCCUUAUUACACCAAAAUAAAAAAUGAAAAGCUAAACUAGAUAAGCCUAUCAGCUACGAGUUACAAGAUUUCUAUCUAUAAACCUUCUAAAGCUUGAUCUUGAGUCUUUGCCGGUUCUUCCUGCUGACUCUGAUCUGAAUCUUGAUGCUCGUUUAGCUGCAACCGCUGAUUCAUUCUUCUACAGCUUUUUGGAUCAAGGUGCGACAUGCAAAGUUUGUGACUUCAACCAUAUCUUGAGCAGUCCACGUCUUCUCUCCGCUUCUACACUUUAGAGCUCACUUCUUUUUUUCUUAAUUUUCUUUCCUUUUUUUUGAAUCGAGAUUUCUUCUUUUGGUCGCCUUGAAACUUGUGCCUCACGAUAAAAACCUUCUCAGGCAUCAAAACAAAUAAACGAACGAAAUUUUUCUGCCCCAGUUUUCACUAGGAAAAUUUCAUGAGUUAUUGCAACAAAAUCUAAACUAUUUCUUUAUUGUAAGCAAUAAAAUCGGGAUUGUAUCCUUGAGAAAAAGAGAUCAGGGAGUGGAGACCCUAUAUCUAAAAUAAAAUCAAAUGGGGAUCGGAGGCCCUAUGUUGGGAAGAUUACCAGGUUAUGCUAGAAAAAAAAUGACUGGGUUAUGCCGGAAAAGGUCCUCAGGUUAUGCCGGAGAGGUCCACAGUUUAUGCCGGGAAAGUCAUCGGGUUAUGCCAGAUAAGGUCCUCGGGUUAUGCCGGGGAGGUCCACCGGUUAUGCCGGAAAAGGUCCUUGGGUAAUGCCGGGGAGGUCAUCGGGUUAUGCCGGAAAAGGUCCACGGGUUAUGUCGGGAAAGUCAUCGGGUUAUGCCAGAAAAGGUCUGUGGGUUCUGCCGAGGAGGUCAUCGGAUUAUGCCAGAAAGGUCCUCGGGUUAUGCCGGGGAGGUCCACGGGUUAUGCCGGGGAGGUCCUCAAGUUAUGUCGGGAAGGUCCAUGGGUUAUGCCGGAAAAGUCAUCGGGUUAUGCCGGAAAAAGUCUUGGGUUAUGCCGGGGAGGUCCACGAGUUAUGUUGGGAAGUCAUCGGGUUAUACCGGAAAAGGUCCUCGGGUUAUGCCGGGGAUCAAUUAGGGAGUGAGACCCUAUACUGGAAAAAACUACCAGGUUAUGCUGGCAGCGACUAGGGAAUGGGACCCUAUAUUGGAAAAAUGUAGCUAGAGAUUGGGGACCCUAGGCUACCAUGAUUUUGAAUUUUUCUUCUUUUUCUUUUAUUUUUUUUAUUUCAUAGAAUGAGUAAAUGCGGGAAAGAAUUUUGGAGGGGACUUCCCUUUUUGGAUUGUUGCUGCAAAGUUGUUUCCAGCCCUUGCGCAGUUUCUUUUUUGUUGCACCUGUUUCUUGCAAGGUUGCUUCGAAUUACACAUGUUUUCUGUUUUUCAAACAAAAAACAAUUUGUCAAUUUGAAAUGGUGGUUGGUUUUGUGGCCUUGAUUAUUUCAACCAUUUGAUCUCGGCCCCUUUCAUCUGCAAUCGGUUGUUUCCCGAAUACCGAUUACAUUUCAGACUCUGGAGAAACUCUGGCAUUUCCAGACUUUGCCAUGACGAUUGGUCGAUGGGACUCCACCUUUUCGACUUUAUUUUGCCUAUGUAGGCCCUUCCCUUCUGACUUCUUGUUUUUCUUUUCUCUUUUUUUUCUUUUUCCUUCUUUUUUUUUUGUUUUUUUAACUUCGGAGCAUUGGGGAACUUUUGGCUCCUCAAAAUUGCUGCAACGGCUACUCGCGUGGGACUUAACCUUUUCCAACUUUAUUUCGCCUUCGUAGGCCUUUCUAUUCUGGCUUCUUUUUUCCUACUUCAAUUUCAGAGCAUUUGGGGUACCUUGGAUUUUUCAAAUCUUUGCCGAGACGGUUAGCCACGUGGGACUCAACUUUUUCAACUUCCAAGAGUUUUCAAUUUCAAAACAUCAACCACCAUGGUCGGUCGAAGUUGACUUGAUGCCCCUGACGAGGCUGGGUGCCUUAUUGCAUAUUAGCUCGUGUCAAAUGAGAACCCUUUAAAUCAGUCUCGUCAUCCCUUCUUUGUCUCAGUUUCGGAAUAGAGUUAGACUGAAAGGGAUUCAAAGUAAAAACAAACAAAGGAAUUGAUAAAUGAAUUUAGACAAGAGGUAUCUCCUUCGGGGAAAGGAAAGAAGGACUUAUCUGGAGUACAUACGGACUUCAAUGAACAUGACAUGCCUUUUGGACUGGAUGCCUGAUCUGUAUAAACCGUCCGACUCUCAGAAAUGCAACACAACUUUUGCCUCAAAAUCGAGAACCUUGCCCGGACUCUGUCGAUGCCGAUGGCUGUGAGGAUUCUCUUUUUGAUCAGGGACGCCCUUUGCAGGUUUUCACGAGUUGACCUCUCUCAUUUCUCUUCUCACCAUCGCCUUAUAGUGCUCUUUGCCAGUUUUCACUAACAAGACUCUCAUUUUGAUUUCUUUGCUUACUGUCGCCUCACAGUGCCCGUGUGGGUUUUCACCAAUAAGACUCUCAUUUUAUUUUUCUCAUUUUGACUGUAUCGGAUCCAAGUAACUGUAUUCUUCGGUCCUUGAACAUUCUCACCGAUUGAUCGGAAGGACUUGAACAGGGUUUGGGUAAAAAAAGAUUUGGAUUGAGCUACAACUUUGGAACCUUUUGGGUGGGAUCAUCGCCGAACCAUUAUAACAUCUGCCCCAGUUUCACUUUUUAGGAGACUUUGAAUUUUUAUUUUGGUGUGACUGAAUCCCAGAGAGGCUGCCUACGUAUCCUUUCGGAAUCAAGUCGAACGUAGUUCAUGGAACUUUGUUUUUGAUUUUCUUUUGUUUUUUCUUUUUGCUUUGUUUUCUCUUUCUUUUUCCUUUCAAAAAUUUUCAUUUUUCAUUCAUCCCUUUUUUUCAAUAAUAACUCCAGGUUCCAAAGAAGGUAAUCAAAUAAUAGGAGCCGGCUCAAAGAGUUUGCAAAGGGUUAUUUGGAUAGUGAGAAAGAAAGUCUUCUUCAUCCCAACCGGAGAACAUUAAUACUAUAUAGAGAAUCCAACAUAGUACCUUUUGACUGCAUUUGCAUUUACAGUUGUUUUAGGGACAUUUCCUUCAAUGUGUCCCAAGUACAACGCACUCUUUGGUAGUACUUUUGUUACCAUGUAUGGAUCUUUCCAAUCUGGAGCCAAUUUUUCUUUAGCUGUUCCAACUCUUUAUUUUAUUUCCUUAAACUUGUCUUCAUUACUAUCUAAUUCUUGAUUCAUUAUUUCAAGGUCUAACAGUGUUUCAGGGUCUGGGCAUGAAGUCCGCAAAUAUAUCAUGUUAUUGAAAUCUCCAUUUAAUAGAAUUAAAAAGAGAAUAAGAAAAAAUGAUAAGAUUAAGAAAAGAGACAUCAUUGGAAGAAUUUCAUUUGAUUUUGAUUUUUUUUUAUUUGAAUUUCAUUUGAUUUUGAUUUUUUUUUAUUUGAGCUUUUGAAUUUCAAAAGAUAGAAUGGUUAACAUCGAAAAGUAAGACAAUAAAGUAAACAUCCGGAUAACACCCUGAGAUAAUCCGAAUGCAGAAAGGAUAGCAAGACUGGCUACCGAGACUCCCGUCUGAUGGGGAAGUUUCAGGCUUGGCAACCGUCUUUCGACUUUUCUUUUGUCUCGGCAAUGGUUGCAAUGGCCUUCAGUGCCGGAUAAAAUUCCCCAUCUUCACAAAUAUUCCGACUAUUGGCCCGCUGUUGUGGGUANNNNNNNNNNNNNNNNNNNNNNNNNUUCGGCCGGUUCAGGGCCACUGGCUGCAAUAGAUCUAGCCUGAUUAGCUUAUGGAACAAGUUUGAAUACGAUUCACUAAUAGGGGUGAACUGAUUCUUUCUGAAAGGCUCUCUUGGUUGAGGAUUGUACUGGGGAUCAUUUGGUUGAGGAUUAUAUGGAGCUUGGUAAGGAUGGACAUUUCUAGGAGGUGGAGCUCGGUUUUAUGUAUAAUGUUGUGGCCGCGUGUAAGGUUGCACGUUCAUCACCGCAUAAAGAGGUGGUGCCACGGCAUAAGCAGCAUCCUGAAGGGGAUAAUAAUAUUGAGGGACCUCAGGAAGCAUAUCUAAUUAGCUGAAUGACCUGUGGGUCCCCCUCGAGCUGGAAGCCAUCAUGGCUUCUUCUUCUCUCCCGUUUCCAUUUAUUAAAUCCUUUGAACCAUUUUGAACAUCUGGUGAUAUGGCUUUAAAAGUAGCAUGAAUCAAAAGUCGACCUGUUUUUAGCCCACUUUCUACUAUCUCCCCAAUUUUGAUAGCCUCAGCAAACGCCUUUCCCAUGGCGGACAUCAUGUUCUAGAAGUAGUCCGCCUCUUGGGCUUGUAGAAAGACCGUGACCAUUUCAAUUUCGUUCAUUGGAGGCUUUACCCUGGCAGCUUGCUCAUGCCAUUAGACAGCAUAUUCGCGAAAGCUUUCUACGAUUUUCUUUUUUAAAUUAGACAAAAGGUUUCUGUCGUGAGCGAUGUCCACAUUAUACUAGAACUGGCGGACAAAAUCUCGGGUCAUAUCGUCCCACAUGUGCCAAUGGGUAAUUUCUUGAUCCGUAUACCACUCAGAAGCGAUUUCGGUGAGUCUUUCCCUAAAAUAGGCCAUUAGCAGCUCCUCUUUCCCACCAAUACCCCUCAACUGGUUACAGCAUCGUUUCAGAUGAGCGACCGGGUUUCCGUGCCCGUUGUACUUUACAACUUUUGGCAUCUUGAAGCCAACUGACAAGUGGACAUGGGGAAAUAUAUAGAGGUCAGAGUAUGAGACACUCUUUUGGCCACUCAGACCUUGCAUGUUUUUCAUGCUUUGUUCUAGGCUCUUCAUCUUCCGAGCCAUUUCCUUUUGCUCGGGAUUUUUAACAACCUUUUCUUGCUCCACCGAGAGAUCAUAUUGCGGAGGUUGAGUUAAAGAGUACGGGGUCACAUAUGUUAUUUUUGAUUGAAGUUGUGGACCCUGAAAGGUGAACACUGGAGGCUCAACAUACGGCCGUGGUAAAGUUGGUUGUGUUCUGGUGCAGACUGGUGCUAUAGAGAACAAUAUUGGAGGUGCCCAAGAAACUGGUGCUGUAGAGAACAAUAUUGGAGGUGCCCAGGAAACUGACGCCUGGGGGCGAACCACAGAAAGCAUGUCAGGAUCAUUGGAGGUCAUUGGAGGGUGCCCGCAUGAGAUGAGCGGGUUGGGCACAGGGGCUUUGGUAACCUCACCUGACCUGAGGAUCAACUCAGGGAACUCAGGAAUUACACUUGGCGGUUCCUUACUAUUGGACCAGGCGUCCCACAUUUUCAGUAUGCGGAGACGCAACAUCUUAUUCUCUUCAGCAGCUGCUGAUUCUAGCUGCAUAAUAGCCGAUGCCGGGCUAUCCUCAGGACCAAUGAUUGGUAGAUUGCUUGCGGAGGCCAUUUGUGCCUUUGGAUCUUGUGAAAGAGAGGAGGAUAGACUACCAACAAAACCAACCACCAAAAUCUAACUAGUUUACACACCCAACAACCUUGUUAGUUUUGAGACAUUUAACAUAUAGGAAAUCGCACGUAGGGAUGCAAUGCACCUAAUAGUUAAACGCUUAUAUCAUGUGUUUGAACGGUUGCAUGUUUCAUCUCGGCCUUAACUAACCCUUUCAGUAUGUACCUCUUUUCAUUUAUUUCUGCCUCUCUUUAAUCUCUCUUAAUUUUUUUUUCAUUUUUUUUUGGUCACUCUUUUAUUUUUUGGCACUCUCUUUUCUUUCUUUCUUUUUCAUUUUCUUUUUUUUUGUUUUUUUUUCACUUAAGUUUUCUUUCUGUUUUUUUUUUAGUUUAUUUUUUCACUCAAUUUAUUUUAUAGCUAUGAUCGAAUCCGAUGAGGAUUGCCUACGUAUCAUGACGCCGCAUGAAUCAGAUCAAGUAGUUUGGGAAGAUCGAGAAUGGAGUAAAUAAGCUAACUUUUUUUUCUUUUUAUAAAACUCAGACCAAGAAAGCUUUAAAAUCAAAGAAAAAUAUUUUUUUUUUGAUUUGUGAUUUUUAUUUUAUUUUUAAUUCUUUUGGAAUUUUCGGAAAAAAUGUUUUAAAAGAAGAAAGGAAAUAUUUUUUUGCAUUUUUUUAUUUUGAUUGAUUUUUUAAAAUUUAUUUUUGAAAGAGAGACUUCUAAAAAUUUAAAUUUAUUUUCUUUUGAUUUGAACUUUGGAAAUUUUAAAAGUAAAAGAAAAUAUUUUUUGUUUGAACUUUCAUUUGUUUUAUUUUUUUCUAAAGAAAUAUUUUUGGAUUUUGGAUGCUACCUCUUAAUUUUCGAAAGAGGGACUUUUAAGAAAAUGUUUUGGAUUUCUGAGUUUUUUAUUUUAUAUUUAUUAUUACAUAAGUACUUCUAAAGAAUAACGCAAAUAUUUUUGGACUUCACAUUUUCCAAAAAAAAAAAUUUUGACAUUUACGAAAGAAAGAAUUUUAAAGAAGGAAAAGUAUAUAUAUAUAUAUAUAUAUUUGGAUUCACUUUUUCCUGAUUUUUUGGGAAAAAUAUUUCAAAAUAAAGGAAACCCGUAUUUUGGAUUUUGUUUUUUUUUCUUCUUUUUAUUUCUUUUUUCCGUAUGAAAGACUUCUGAAAGAAGGAAACUACUUUUUUUUGAGUUUUAAAAACUUCUUUUUUUUUAAUUUUCUAAGGAAAGAUUUCUAAAGAAGGAACUAAUGGAAUUUUUUUUUUGAAUUUUUUUAAAAAUUGGGGCCGGAACCGAUAAGGUUUGCCUGCGUAUCUCAUACCCGGUGAGAAUGAGACCCGCAUAGUUCGGUCAGUUUUGACAGAACAGGGGAAACAUGGCACUUGAAAAUUUUGGCUUAUUUUGAAAUGGCUUUUCUUUUUUCAGAAUUUCGGCAGAGUUUCAGAAUUUUCUAAAUACCUACCUCUCAAUUUUUUUUUCUUCCCCUAUUCUAGAAGUCGGUCAACAAGCAAGCCGAAACAAACAGAUGCGCAAGUAGCACGUAAGAUGCAUCGAGAUGGUCUUUUAAAUUGGGUUCACCUGUCCUAGACGGACCCUACCCUUGCGUUGAGUCCCCAAAGUCAAAUGCACAUGAUGCAAACAAGCGUUCCUACUAGGGAUCCGGUAUGAGGCUGAGUUAUUCUAGGUUUAAAACCUGGGUGUAUUGUUCUAGACUUGUAACCGAGCGGACAACUCGAGGGGGGGCUACGUACCGGGAACCAAAAGGUCAUCCGGAUUUGUAACUUGUCUGAGCCUCUUUCUUCUUUAAGGUGAGUCACGCCAGCGUGCACAUCCCCGAAGACGAGAAGAGAAGGGUUUCGUAACAGUUUAUAUACAGUUUAAAUAAUAUCAAAGCGGUAAAAAGCGACAUUUAGCACAUUAGGCCCAAACAUGUAAAAAUCAAUUAUAAAUAAAGCCAACUAAAACAGUUAUUCUAAGCUCGAAUUCUGAACCAUGAACAUGAGAUUCUGGGUUCAGUCCCUAGCAGAGUUGUCAGAGCUGUCACACCUCUCUUUUACCACCCAAUGGGGUAUAUAAGGGAAUUUUUUCAAUUGAAGUGACAUUAUUCGAAAUGAGAUUAUUUUAUUUAAUUUUUAGAGUUGCCACUUGGAAUAAUUUAUUUGGGUGUCCCAAGUCACCGGUUUAUUUUAAAUCCCAAAUCGAGAAAAUUGACUUUAUUUAAAAGUCUGCGAAACCAGAAAUUCUAGGUAAGGAAUUCUGUUAACCCGUAAGAAGGUGUUAGGCAUUCCCGCGUUUCGUGGUUCACGCACAGUUGCUUAAACUAUUAAUAAUUGGCCUAUUAUCUGAUUUACUACAUGUUUUAAACCUAUUGUGCAUUUUAACUUUAUAACCUCUUUUAAUUAUUUUAACUGCUUUUUAGGAUUUAUGGAUUUAUUUCUUGAUCAAGUUACGAUUGUUGUACACUUAUUUAUUUUGGAACACACCGCAAAUCACGCUAUAUGAAAUGCACCCGUGAUUCGCGAUACGUUUAUUUUAUUAAUGUUCGAAGUUAUUAUAAUCGGAUCACAUGAAAUGCACACCCGAAUUGGAGAUUAGGUAUCACGACCAUGCCACGGGAACCGCACCCACAGCCGUAAUGAUUUAUUUAAUUAACGCGCCUAAAGCAAACUACGACAUUUAUAAAUUGUUUUCCCUAAAACUUGUUUGAGAUUAUUGGGAGGCAAAAAGCUUAUGAAAAUUAGUUGUGGAAGAAAAAGAGUAGAUUAGCUUUGAAAAUGUGGAUUAGCCAUACUAGUUUUAUAUUCUUGCGGGUUGGCAGACUUUCCCAUUUAGCACCACUAUGUGAUGACCACUACGAAAACCAAAUUGGAGACGAUAACUAUUCCCUUACACACAAAUCCUUUUGUUGUUACAUUUAUCUAUUUUUAUAAAUUAAAAAAACCCAUUCUUAAAUUCUACUAACAAUGUAGUAUCCUAUCCUAAGAAACCAACAUCACAACUAUCCAUUAAAUUAAUCCAAAAUAAGGAUGAAUAAGAUUGAUAAUUACCGAACGCUCAGAUGGAUUGUAUAGAAUUGUUCCAAAAUUAGUUUGAAACAAAGAAAGCAAGCAAAUUUAAUUGAAUAAACUACCUGUUAGCAAAUAAUUAAAACCCAUGGAACAUCUUCACCUAUCUCGAAUAGGACAAGCAGAAUGUUUAAAUCACAUAAAGAGCAAUACAAGAAUCUGUACAUGGGUUUCUAAAUAUUCUAAACUACCAAGAAGACAUUUAAUUUCCAAAGCAUUUAAGAAAAUAAAAUAAGGAAUCUAACAAAAGUAAUCCUAAAGCUUAAUCAAUGCUGAACCAAUUAUGGCAGUAGGAUACAACCACUAGCCUCUAAUAAAAAUUUCUGAAUUUUAAAACUAAAUUAGGACCCAACUGUUUCUACAUAUUGUCACGAAUAUACAAGAAACUGUAGAAUUAUCAAUCUCGGCAACUACAACCUGGGGAGCUGAGUCUCUUUUUCAGAGGUAAACUUGACCAACAGGUAGUCAAAUCCAUCAUCCACCAUAUUUCAGUGUCAUUUUAAGCAUAAAUCAUUAGUUUAAACAAUAAGAGGCAACAAAAAGUAAUGAACUAAUCAAUGAGCACUUUAUCAACUUAAAUUUUAAUUUUAACAUACAACAACAACAAAGAUUAACAGAGGACGAACACUAAGUAGCUUCAAAACAUAAACACACUAGAUAUAUAAAGCCAAACAUAAGCAACUCAUAAUACCACAGGUCUUAUUUAAACACAACAGAGGAUAGUAGUUUCGAUCAGGUACAUACCAAAAGGCGGAAACAACUGCAGAACAAAGAUCAAAUGAAGAUCUAGAACUCUUAAGGAUGAAGUCCAGCUAUAGCGAGAUGAGCACAGCAGAGAACAACCAGAAAUUUCGAUUCAAACAGCUUUAAAGAAAACCUAUAAAAUGAUCAACAGUCUCGUCAAAUUAGAAGUAGUUUCUUGUUUCUCUGUUUUCCUGAAGGAGAAGGUCCCUUCUCUUAGGUUUGAUCUAAUCNNNNNNNNNNNNNNNNNNNNNNNNNUUUUUGGCUGAGUGAGGUCAGGAACAUUUUAAGGGGAACGACGCUCCUCUUUUUCUGAAGGAGCAGGUCUGAUCUUCUUAGCGCUUUAGGGUUUCUUUUUUAAUAAAAGGGGAGGGGAAAUGGGUCGGGCGAUAUUGACUUGUUUUGGGCCCAUUAGCCUUGGCCCAAUUUAAAAU